CUGAACCUGGGAGCUUCAGGUAAAAGAAGGAUCUGUUUGCAUAACCAUUAUGCUGUCUCUCCUACUCAAAAUCUUAAAUAUAGAAAACAGUUAAAGCAAUUAAAGCAGUGUUCUACCAGGUCAGGAACAUACACAGUGGUCAGUAAUGUGUGCACAACAAAUCAUUAGCACAGUUAAGUGUGAUAUUUCCAGAUAGCCUAGGUGUUUAAUACACUACCCAUCUUUCUCAUUCUAUCCAUUGUCCUUCAGUGGGCAUCAACUUUGUAAUAAUUGCAGUUUAUGGAUUUUUUUUUUUUUUGGGACCAGGAGGUAGCACAAUAGUUAUACAUAUCCUAUACCACUGGAAGGUAGAAAAGAAGGUACAUAGUAGAGAGACUUAUAAAAGAUGGGCUAUUAGAGCCCUGUGUCUCCUUAUAAUACACCCAUACUCCAGGUCUGGAAAGCAGAUGGCUUUUAUUGACUAGUGAAAGACUUAAGAACCAGAUUGUGGGAGUUAGAUGGGUUAAGAAGUGCAGGUGGUGCAAAGCGCAAGGACCGGUAUAAGGAUCCUGGUUCGAGCCCCUGGGCUCCCCACUUGCAGUGGAGUUGCUUCACAGGAGGUGAAGCAGGUCUGCAGGUGUCUUUGUAUUCCCCCUUUCUCCCCCCCCCACACUUCUCUCUGUCCUAUCCAACAAUGACAAUAUCAACAAUAACUACAACAACAAUGAAAAACAAUAAGGGCAACAAAAGGGAAAAUAAAUAGUAAUAAAAUAAUAAUAAAAAAACAGAUUGUACAGGUCUGUCUUCCACAGUGCUGAAUAGUUAUUCAGCAGAAUCUAUGACCAUUCAUGGCUCAGUGGCAUAGACCUCAAGGAUGCUUUUUGGGCUUGCCCCUUUAAUUCUUAUUGUUUGGAUCUAUUUGCUUUGGAGUGGGAGGACCUGGAGACGGGUGCAGAUACAGUGCAGAUGGACUGUAUUCCCACAAGGUUUUGCCGAGUCACCCAACCUAUUUGGACAAGUUCUAAAGGAAAUUGUAAUCAGUUUCCAACUCCACCUAUUAGCCAGUUGUUAAAACAUGCAACUAAUUGCUAAUUUCAGGCUUAGGGAAGAACUGGCUCACUGAAGCAACAAUUCUAUUGCCUAGUUUCUUGGGAGAGAAAGGAUUGAAAGUGUCCAAAAAUGAAUUAUAAUUUCUAGAAAAAGAAGUCAGAUACCUCAAGGUAGUCAUCAUUCAAGGAAAACAGAAAAUAAACCUAGAAAAAAUUUUUUGGCAUAGUAGAUCUCUCCCUCCCCAAGAUAAAAAAAGGGAACUUAGUUUCUAGGGUUAAUUUGAUACUACAGAAUUUGGAUAGAAGAUUAUACAAACAAGAUUAAACUGUCAUAUCAAAAAUUGCUAGAAGAUGAGCCAGAUGACUCCUGAUGAAAUACAGGAGUAAAGAUUCUUAAACAGGACCUAAUAACUGCCCCAGUUCUAUCCUUGCCCUCCCUUGAAAAACCGUUUCACUUGUUUGUGACUGUCGACCUAGGGGUUGCAUUUGGAGAUCCUUACUCAGAUUUGUGGAGGACAAAAAAAGCCAGUAGUUAACUUGUUGAAGAUUAUGGACCCCUUCUCAGGGGGGUGGGCAGAAUGUGUACAAGCUAUUGAUGCCACCACCCUCCUGGUCAAAGAGGGCUGUAAACUCACCUUUGAAGGUGUGCUGGUGGUUAGUAACCCUCACUAUGUUAGGUUUAUGCAAAACCAAAAGGUAGGCCAAUGGUCACUGACAAUUGUGGGGGGAUGAGCAGUAGCAGUAGUGUGGCGGAAGAAGCACAUGUGGCUUGAAGUGCAAGGACUGACAAAAGGAUCCCAGUUCAAGCCCCCAGCUCCCCACCUGUAGGGGAGUCACUUCACAGGUGAUGAAGCAGGUCUGCAGGUAUCUAUCUUUCUCUCCUCCUCUCUCCAUUUCUCUCUGUCCUAUCCAACAACGACAACAACAAUAACUACAACAAUAAAACAACAAGGGCAACAAAAGAGAAUAAAAUAAAUAUUAAAAAAAAAGAAAAAAAAUUAAAAAAGAAUUCUAAGUUAAUGUCUGUUUUCUUUUUCUCCCACCAGUAUUAUUGCCACUGUUUCUUCACAUUCCUCUGCUACUAGCAGACUUUUUUUUUUUUUUUGCCUCUAGGGUUAUAGCUGAGGCUUGGUGCCUGCCUGCACUACAAAUCCACUGCUCCUGGCGGCCAUCUUUUUGCUGCUAUUGUUGUUGUUGGAUAGGACAGAGAGAAAUUGAAAGAGGAAGGGAGGAGAGGGGGAGGGAGACAAAGAUAAGACACCCACUUGUGAAGUGAUCCCCCUGCCGGUGAGGAGUCAGGGGCUUGAACCGGGAUCCUUGUGCUGGUCCUUGUGCGCUUAAUGCGGUGCACCACCACCUGGCUUGCAAGUUUCUCUCUCUCUCUCUUUUUUUUUUUUUUUUGUCUUCAGGGUUAUUGCUCUGGGGCUCAGUGCCUGCAUCACAAAUCCACUGCUCCUUAUAGUCAUUUUUUGCUCUUGUGGCUGCCGUUAUCAUUAUUGUUACUGCUGUAUUUUUUUUUUUUUUGCCUCCAGGGUUAUUGCUGGGGCUCUGUGCCUUCGCUAUGAAUCCACUGCUCCUGGAGGCCAUUUUUCCCAUUUUGUUGCCCUUGUUGUUUAUCAUUGUUGUUGUUAUUGAUGUCGUUGUUGAAUAGGACAGAGUGAAAUGGAGAGAGGAGGGGAAGACGGAGAGGGGGAGAGAAAGAUAGACACCU